CGGUAGUAUAUUAUAAAUUAAACCACUUUAUUUUGGCGGCAUUUAUUUAAUUAGAGGAACUUACCUUAUAAUCGACACUACACGAUAAAUUUCACUUUCUUUUAUAGUUUAUAUACCUCCAUCUUAAGAACUAAUUAACAAAUUCUAUUCUUAAUACAUUUAAAAAGUUAGGUCAAGGUGUAGCCCAAACUAAAGUUUAGAUGAGUUACUCUAAGAAUUACUUAAGAAUUAUUAUUUCUAAAUAAUAUGAAAGAGGAUUUAUUAGUAAUAUGAAAAUAAUAAUUUUACCUGAAUCAAAAAAUAAAUGUGC
rnacentral:rRNA from 1 species